rnacentral:lncRNA from 1 species
UGCAAAAAACUGGGCGCGCACCAUGGAAAACUGGGGCAAACCAUGUGCGUGGCAUGGACGGAUGCACGUACGGGCACACGGGCCAAAAAACGUGAACGUGAGGAAACGGGAAAGACGGGUACGGGGCCGUGUUGCAAUAAACUGGGCGCGCACCAUGGAAAACUGGGGCAAACCAUGUGCGUGGCAUGGACGGAUGCACGU